CAGAGAACAUCGCCCUCGCGGGUGACUCUCCAACCCUAUGUUAUUAUAACCUUUGUUGCUUUGGCGGGCCGCCUCGGCCACCGGCUCCGGCUGGUGAGCGCCCGCCAGAGGACCCAAAAUUCUGAAUAUUAGUGUCGUCUGAGUACUAUAUAAUAGUUA
rnacentral:misc_RNA from 1 species